ensembl:lncRNA
GUUCUCUUCCCAUGCUUUGAUGUAGCAAAAAGCUGGGUCACCCAGCUGGUGUGGGGGGGGGGAGGGGUCACUGGCACUCUGUCAUUGGAACUAGGCUCCCUUCUGCCUCCUCACCUCCAAACAGGCACAAGGUCACUUAUGCACCGCUCUGAAGGCCUGAGAGAAUGCGAGGCAGCCUCUGGCAGAGCCCCCUAAGUGGGAAGGGAUGGGCAGGGCUGUGCUGCGGGCACAGGGAUGGAGGAGUCUGGCAGGGAGCCGCAGCUGCUGCUCCCCCCGGGGUUCGUCCUUUCUCCAUUGGGCCUCACUGUCCCCACCAGCCCAUGCCUCAAGCUGCCCCCGGAGCUGGGCUGGCAGGGAGCUGCUGGCGGCCCUCAGUGUUCCAGCUGGUCCGAGCCCACCACAGCAGCUGAGCGGGGAGCGCCUGCUCCUCAACAUGUCCUAGUUCCCAUCAGCUGGCUGGGGCCGUUGGAGCAGACAGCCGGAGCACAUGUUGCUCCAGCCCUGCCGUACCCAGGCCUCCAGCUGAGGGGCUUGGGGUAAAAACUGGGGCAAGAGUUGCCUGAGGACAUCAGGGUGCUCCUUCUCUGCCAUUCACAGAAAUCUCAAAUGAUUCUCUUUCGACUCCUAGUUUGGAAAAAUAUUUAAUGUUUCCAGAUUGAACAACUAGCAUCUGUUUGUGCAAACCAACCUUUUGUCCCACCUGUUUCCAGAACAGUAUUCCCUGUGAGUUUCAGGUGCCAAAGCUCACAGCUGAUGGAGAGGUUCCAUGGGUAUCUGCCCAGAGUGAUGCCUCUCACAGGCACUGGCAGCUGCUCCAGCGACCAGAGGAUGGAUCCUCUCUCUGGGUUGUGUACAGACAACAAUCUUGCUAAAACCAUCAUCCCUUCCUCUGGGCUACAUGAACCCUGAACUACACCUCCAUGGCCUCUCUACAGACCAGCCGCCUCUCCUUGAGGAGACUGAAGUUACACACUCCACCAAGUAUUUUCAAACCACUAGAUUCGUUUGAAUGAGUAAUGUUGUUAAAACCUUGAUAAAAGUUACCAAAAUCCUCUAAUCAAUGAGGUGUUCUUCGUUUGAAUGAAUAAUGUUAAAACCUUGAUAAAAGUUACCAAAUUCCCCUAAUCAACGAGGUGUUCACCAUUCACAGAAAAGAAGCAAAACACAAAUUUCACCCUUCCUGUCCCAAACAGAGGCCAGCAGACAUAUUCCAGUAACACAAGAAUCUGCAUUUUGGGGCCAUUAGUGCUGGUUAUGAUUCCCAAAAGUACAGCGUGCCAUGCUAAGCCAUUACCGCCUGUCCUCGGACAUAAACCUUAUGCAACCUGCAGUGGGCUAACAUGGGAAUAAGUUAGAAAGCAAUGUGAACAUGGCAGAGAUUAGCAGAGAACAUUUCACUGGAUUUAUCUCAAGAUACAAUUUGUUAACAUUUUUUUUCUUCGUUGCUCAAAACAUUCCCUGGUAGUUAUUUUUAGUGAUGACAUAUAUGUUUCCUAGUAAGACAUCUUGCAUUUAAUAGUAAUAAGAAAUAACAUUAUCUACUUUUUAUGAUUGAGGAUGAAGGAGUCUAUUCUAAUAGCUUCAGUUGUCAACACAAGGUCCUCCGGUACUACAUUUCUCGGCCUCCCUGUUGUAAAAGAACAUGCCUAUGUAGAUAUUAUUAAUUUAUCAUUGCACAAAACAAAGUUUAUGAACACUUAAUAUUUAAUGUACUGUGAAUUUAAUAAUAAAAAAUUAAGACCCUACCUUACAUCAUUUUUUAACUAUCUGAUUUUUAUUCUUCUCAUUAGCUCUUUAUGGAUCUAUUCUGAACCAUGGCUUGGGCUUAAAAGCAGUUAGUUGUAUAGGCUGAAGAGCAAAUACUUCCUCUCUAGCCCAGCUGAACACAGAGACAACACCAUGAUGAAAUUAAGCACUAUGACAUUUCUACCAUGCAUAGAACACAGGGACAUAAAUACAAAUACAAACCUGUAGUGCAAUUAGAGCAGCCACCUACACAAACUGAAGACAUGGGUCUUCCUGCCUAGUGAAGACAUUAGACAGGUGGGAUUUUCUUUCACAAAGGUUUGAUGCUUUUGCGUUUACACGUUGCCAGUUACUGCUUCUCUAAGGGCUUAUGCCAAUUCUGUCUGUCUGAGCAGCUUCUUGCAUAAAUGUGAUUAAUAAAAAAGUAAUUCUCUACAGCAAAAAAAUAAACAGAUCUUCCUUGUUAUUGUGAUUUUGGUUUCCUCAGCACAGCCUGACAGAUCUUGUUGUUACCUGCAAUCCCUCUGGGAGUUCAAAAUAAAGCAGGUUGGGGGCUUCAGCUCAUAAACAUGCCUUUUGGUUCCAAAGGCAAUGCCUGGCUCAGUCCCAGCUGAGGAUCUGACUCUGUUAUGUCUCAACACACAUAUGCUUAUGGUAUAUGAUUCUGCUCCUACAGUAGUAUUCAUUCUAGAUUUCAAGUACAGAACAUGACUCAUACUCCUUUCUUUCUUUACAUUUGUAUUAUCUAGCCUAGCUGUUGAGGGUUUAGUCAAAAGAAUAAUUAAUGUUUAGUUGAUAAUCUGAAUCCCAACAGCUCAUCCCAGACAAUGUUCCUUGACAGCAAAUCCUGCACCACAGAGAUUAAGAGACAAAUUUGCAAAUGUCAGAAGGCAAGGACUGCAUGCAGAAAUGCAGCACAUUCUCUAGCACACCCCAUCCAUGCUGUCCUGCACUGCUGCAUCACAUUGGUAAAAAAUCCACUCUGCACCAGCAGCAGCACAGCCACGAUUUGGCAUGGCUGUAUAUAGCACUCAUGUAUUUAGGAACGUGGAUCGCCAGGCAUGUGUUUAGCUGGACAGCUGUACAUGCAAAUAUCCAACUUGCACACCCAACGUGUGUGUGCCUCUCAGGGUAUGCAUGUCCCACAACCCAAGUAGUAGAGCUGGAACAAAAAUAGAGAAGAAGCCUUCGUCUUGUUAAAAAUGUGGCACUGAUCUCACUUUUUUCUAAAUGAGACAGAAGGCAAAUGUUCUCCAACAAAACAUAAACAGUGAAUAACAGAGCUGGAAUAUUAAGAUGCCUGAGUAUGGGAAAGAAGCAAGAUGAGCCAGAAAGGGAAAACCAGCAGCAGAGCUCAAGUCUUGCCUACGAUCAACCCAAGCGGAGCACGCUGCUAGGAUUGCCCCUGCAGAUCAAUGUGCAUGGGGAAAGAAAGGGGAGGUGACACUAUCCAAGAAAAGGAAACUCAGAAAACUAUCAGGAAGGGAUUUGGAGUAGAAAAAACAAGUCAUUAGGAAUGGAAGAGAAAAGGAAAAACAGGGCCUGAAAACCACUGCACGUCCCUGGGCCCACUUUGGAAGGAAGGAGAAGUAAAAGACUUGUUUCUUCCAUUGAGAGUUGAAUCUGAUGCACUGGUCAGUGAAUGACAGCUGAAGCUCAGCUACCUCUUGCCUUCAGACAACUCCUCCCCAGGACAGCACCCUGGACAUCGGGGCAGAGGGCAGGCUGCAGGGAGCAAGAGGAGGAGGGGGAGACCUCUGUGACUUUGACCUUGGAGGAGUCCCACAUUUGGGAUCUGUCCUGUUUUCUUGUUGUGUGUGUGCCUAGAAGAUGGCCAGAAUCUAGCAUCUGAAUGCAGCAGUUCCCAAAAGCAAUUCUCCUUUUUGCAGGAGAGUGGAUGGUACGAUGUCGACGUAGCACAACAGAUGCUUCAGUCCAGAGGAAAUCAGGAACUAUGCCCCUGCCUGUGGUGCUGGGAGUGGGUGCAGAGUGGUACCUCUUGCCUGCCAUUCCUGCUGGCCCACGGCUACCUUGCUGCUCCAGCAUCUCAACAGCAGCACAGCAGCUACUAGAGGAAGAUGAUUUCAGGGAAUAAAUAGACUCGGUGGCAAUGCGACACUAUGGUGGCUGUCAUCACCUGGGAUGUCACAGACCAUCCACCACCAUAUCACACCACCGGUCCCUGCUCCGUUCCUUGCUGUUACUCUGCAUGCCUCCUGUGCAGCCCUGCCAGGGAAACAUCCUCACAGGUGGGCGCAAGAAUCUCAUGAUGCCUGUGGCCUCCCUAUGCCACAUAACAGAGAGCAAGAGGUGGCCCAUGUGAGCCCAGAACACUACCAUCACUUUGAAGGACCUCUGACGGAGAAAGGCCUUCGUGGGCCAGGCAGGUGAGAGGAGGACAAAAGGACAAGGAAUCUGCUUUUCCUAUCAGAAAAGUUCUGAUACUCUUUGUGGCACACCUGCUGCUUGCUUUAUGAAAUACUCUCCAUGUUCACGCUUGAUACACUUGUACAAAUAAAUAUACCAC